rnacentral:rRNA from 1 species
UACGGGGGGGGCAAGCGUUGUUCGGAAUUACUGGGCGUAAAGGGCUCGUAGGCGGCCAACUAAGUCAGACGUGAAAUCCCUCGGCUUAACCGGGGAACUGCGUCUGAUACUGGAUGGCUUGAGUUUGGGAGAGGGAUGCGGAAUUCCAGGUGUAGCGGUGAAAUGCGUAGAUAUCUGGAGGAACACCGGUGGCGAAGGCGGCAUCCUGGACCAACACUGACGCUGAGGAGCGAAAGCGUGGGGAGCAAACGGG